rnacentral:lncRNA from 1 species
UUCUAUUCUAAUAUAUAAUAAUCUAACUUAUCUAAAAGAUUUGAAAUAAAUGCGGAAUGUGUCCAUUGAACACAGAUGAUGCUCCCGCUUGCAUAUCACAAAAGUUAUAAACGGAUUCAAAGUUGAUCUGCAUUUGGUGGUUUUAAGCAUUGUGUAUAAUUUUAAUAACAUCUGGUAAAGACAAACUAAAGUUAGAGAACAGAAACGGAAAUUCAGCAAUAUUUCUAUUUGUAAAGGGGCAUAACUCUUUGACGGUUUAAGUGACACCACCAACAUGCAUACUUAGUCUGUGUUUUAUGGUAAUAAGCAAUGUGAUUAAGUUUCAUAACAUUUGGUUCAGGCAAACUAAAGAUAGAGAACAGAAACCAACGUUGGGACAUACUGACGGACGGACAAGGGUAAACCUUAAUGCCCUCUCCGCCACUGCGGGGGCAUAAAUAUGUAAAUAUAACAAUUGAUUAAAUUAGGCAAAAUUCAAUGAAUGGUCAUUGCACAUGGUUGUCAUAAAGGUUUGAGAAUCAAAACAGUAUAUAAUAGUUAGGACCAGCAAAUUUUCCUCAAGGCCACAAGGAAAAUAUUUUUGAGAACCAUAAAAAACGCGAUUAUUCUGCCGUAUACAAAUAAUAAUUCAGUUAGGUUUAAAAAAAAAUAA